CACUAUCGUUAACUGAAUACAUAGGUUAACGAGGCGAACCGGGGGAACUGAAACAUCUAAGUACCCCGAGGAAAAGAAAUCAACCGAGAUUCCCCCAGUAGCGGCGAGCGAACGGGGAGCAGCCCAGAGUCUGAAUCAGCUUGUGUGUUAGUGGAACGGUCUGGAAAGUCCGACGGUACAGGGUGAUAGUCCCGUACACCAAAAUGCACAGGCUGUGAACUCGAAGAGUAGGGCGGGACACGUGGUAUCCUGUCUGAAUAUGGGGGGACCAUCCUCCAAGGCUAAAUACUCCUGACUGACCGAUAGUGAACCAGUACCGUGAGGGAAAGGCGAAAAGAACCCCGGCGAGGGGAGUGAAAAAGAACCUGAAACCGUGUACGUACAAGCAGUGGGAGCACCUUCGGGUGUGACUGCGUACCUUUUGUAUAAUGGGUCAGCGACUUAUAUUCUGUAGCAAGGUUAACCGUAUAGGGGAGCCGCAGGGAAACCGAGUCUUAACUGGGCGUUAAGUUGCAGGGUAUAGACCCGAAACCCGGUGAUCUAGCCAUGGGCAGGUUGAAGGUUGGGUAACACUAACUGGAGGACCGAACCGACUAAUGUUGAAAAAUUAGCGGAUGACUUGUGGCUGGGGGUGAAAGGCCAAUCAAACCGGGAGAUAGCUGGUUCUCCCCGAAAGCUAUUUAGGUAGCGCCUCGUGAAUUCAUCUUCGGGGGUAGAGCACUGUUUCGGCUAGGGGGUCAUCCCGACUUACCAACCCGAUGCAAACUACGAAUACCGAAGAAUGUUAUCACGGGAGACACACGGCGGGUGCUAACGUCCGUCGUGAAGAGGGAAACAACCCAGACCGCCAGCUAAGGUCCCAAAGUCAUGGUUAAGUGGGAAACGAUGUGGGAAGGCACAGACAGCCAGGAUGUUGGCUUAGAAGCAGCCAUCAUUUAAAGAAAGCGUAAUAGCUCACUGGUCGAGUCGGCCUGCGCGGAAGAUGUAACGGGGCUAAACCAUGCACCGAAGCUGCGGCAGCGACACUAUGUGUUGUUGGGUAGGGGAGCGUUCUGUAAGCCUGCGAAGGUGUGCUGUGAGGCAUGCUGGAGGUAUCAGAAGUGCGAAUGCUGACAUAAGUAACGAUAAAGCGGGUGAAAAGCCCGCUCGCCGGAAGACCAAGGGUUCCUGUCCAACGUUAAUCGGGGCAGGGUGAGUCGACCCCUAAGGCGAGGCCGAAAGGCGUAGUCGAUGGGAAACAGGUUAAUAUUCCUGUACUUGGUGUUACUGCGAAGGGGGGACGGAGAAGGCUAUGUUAGCCGGGCGACGGUUGUCCCGGUUUAAGCAUGUAGGCUGGUUAUCCAGGCAAAUCCGGAUAAUCAAGGCUGAGGUGUGAUGACGAGGCACUACGGUGCUGAAGUAACAAAUGCCCUGCUUCCAGGAAAAGCCUCUAAGCAUCAGGUAACAUUAAAUCGUACCCCAAACCGACACAGGUGGUCAGGUAGAGAAUACCAAGGCGCUUGAGAGAACUCGGGUGAAGGAACUAGGCAAAAUGGUGCCGUAACUUCGGGAGAAGGCACGCUGGUGUGUAGGUGAAGUCCCUGCGGAUGGAGCUGAGACCAGUCGAAGAUACCAGCUGGCUGCAACUGUUUAUUAAAAACACAGCACUGUGCAAACACGAAAGUGGACGUAUACGGUGUGACGCCUGCCCGGUGCCGGAAGGUUAAUUGAUGGGGUUAUCCGUAAGGAGAAGCUCUUGAUCGAAGCCCCGGUAAACGGCGGCCGUAACUAUAACGGUCCUAAGGUAGCGAAAUUCCUUGUCGGGUAAGUUCCGACCUGCACGAAUGGCGUAAUGAUGGCCAGGCUGUCUCCACCCGAGACUCAGUGAAAUUGAACUCGCUGUGAAGAUGCAGUGUACCCGCGGCAAGACGGAAAGACCCCGUGAACCUUUACUAUAGCUUGACACUGAACAUUGAGCCUUGAUGUGUAGGAUAGGUGGGAGGCUUUGAAGCGUGGACGCCAGUCUGCGUGGAGCCAACCUUGAAAUACCACCCUUUAAUGUUUGAUGUUCUAACGUUGGCCCCUUACCGGGGUUGCGGACAGUGUCUGGUGGGUAGUUUGACUGGGGCGGUCUCCUCCCAAAGCGUAACGGAGGAGCACGAAGGUUAGCUAAUCCUGGUCGGACAUCAGGAGGUUAGUGCAAUGGCAUAAGCUAGCUUGACUGCGAGCGUGACGGCGCGAGCAGGUGCGAAAGCAGGUCAUAGUGAUCCGGUGGUUCUGAAUGGAAGGGCCAUCGCUCAACGGAUAAAAGGUACUCCGGGGAUAACAGGCUGAUACCGCCCAAGAGUUCAUAUCGACGGCGGUGUUUGGCACCUCGAUGUCGGCUCAUCACAUCCUGGGGCUGAAGUAGGUCCCAAGGGUAUGGCUGUUCGCCAUUUAAAGUGGUACGCGAGCUGGGUUUAGAACGUCGUGAGACAGUUCGGUCCCUAUCUGCCGUGGGCGCUGGAGAAUUGAGGGGGGCUGCUCCUAGUACGAGAGGACCGGAGUGGACGCAUCACUGGUGUUCGGGUUGUCAUGCCAAUGGCACUGCCCGGUAGCUAAAUGCGGAAGAGAUAAGUGCUGAAAGCAUCUAAGCACGAAACUUGCCCCGAGAUGAGUUCUCCCUGAGACUUUAAGUCUCCUGAAGGAACGUU
rnacentral:rRNA from 1 species